AGGUUUAAGGUUUUUGGCGUUAGGGUUAAAAUCACUGUCCAAAACCUUUUAAGGAACAAGAUUCAGACCUUUUGGAGUUGGUUACACCAAAAAAAAUGUAAAAUGAAAAAAAAAAUAUUUGGGGUGUUCGGGCUUCCUGAAGGUAAUACCCUUCAGGUUUAAGUAUUAGGUUAUGGGGCUAGGAUUAGGUUUAAGGUUUUUGGCGUAAGGGUUAAAAUCACUGUCCAAUAUUUUUUCAGGAACAUGUUUCAGA